rnacentral:lncRNA from 1 species
GGGCAGUGGCCCGUGUCACUACCAGGCCUCGUUGGCUCCAGAAUCCAUCGCUGACCCCCACUCACCGUUUGCCCCGCUCUUCCCUGCAGCGCGGGUUCGGGGCAGAGAGGACCUGCUCGGAGAGGGCAGCGUCAGUUCCCUAAGGGAAGGCGCUUCUCAGGAAGAUGCGGCCUCAAACCCCGGGUGGAGACCCCAGCACCCUUCCAGGGAGUGCGUUAGGGCAAUUCGUUGAAAAAUAAAUCUGAGACUAUUUAUGAACAGGUGAGCAGGUGAUAUAUAAUAAUAUAUUUUUAGGUAAAUAACGCACGAUUAUUUCUAAGGAGAAAUUAAA